UGCAGCCAUGCCGCGUGUGUGAAGAAGGCCUUCGGGUUGUAAAGCACUUUCAGCGAGGAGGAAAGGUUACUGGCUAAUAUCCAGUAGCUGUGACGUUACUCGCAGAAGAAGCACCGGCUAACUCCGUGCCAGCAGCCGCGGUAAUACGGAGGGUGCGAGCGUUAAUCGGAAUUACUGGGCGUAAAGCGUGCGCAGGCGGUUUGUUAAGCGAGAUGUGAAAGCCCCGGGCUCAACCUGGGAACUGCAUUUUGAACUGGCAAACUAGAGUCUUGUAGAGGGGGGUAGAAUUCCAGGUGUAGCGGUGAAAUGCGUAGAGAUCUGGAGGAAUACCGGUGGCGAAGGCGGCCCCCUGGACAAAGACUGACGCUCAUGCACGAAAGCGUGGGGAGCAAACAGGAUUAGAUACCCUGGUAGUCCACGCCGUAAACGAUGUCUACUCGGAGUUUGGUGUCUUGAACACUGGGCUCUCAAGCUAACGCAUUAAGUA
rnacentral:rRNA from 1 species